rnacentral:rRNA from 1 species
UGGAGAGUUUGAUCCUGGCUCAGGACGAACGCUGGCGGCGUGCUUAACACAUGCAAGUCGAGCGGUAAGGCCCUUCGGGGUACACGAGCGGCGAACGGGUGAGUAACACGUGGGUGAUCUGCCUCGUACUCUGGGAUAAGCCUGGGAAACUGGGUCUAAUACCGGAUAUGACCACGAAUCGCAUGGUUUGUGGUGGAAAGAUUUAUCGGUGCGAGAUGGGCCCGCGGCCUAUCAGCUUGUUGGUGGGGUAAUGGCCUACCAAGGCGACGACGGGUAGCCGGCCUGAGAGGGCGACCGGCCACACUGGGACUGAGACACGGCCCAGACUCCUACGGGAGGCAGCAGUGGGGAAUAUUGCACAAUGGGCGGAAGCCUGAUGCAGCGACGCCGCGUGAGGGAUGACGGCCUUCGGGUUGUAAACCUCUUUCGACAGGGACGAAGCGCAAGUGACGGUACCUGUAGAAGAAGCACCGGCCAACUACGUGCCAGCAGCCGCGGUA